CAGUCGCCACGGUAAAACGAAGGGUGCAAGCGUUAAUCGGAAUUACUGGGCGUAAAGCGUGCGUAGGCGGUGAGUUAAGUCUGCUGUGAAAUCCCCGGGCUCAACCUGGGAAUGGCAGUGGAUACUGGCUCGCUAGAGUGUGUCAGAGGAUGGUGGAAUUCCCGGUGUAGCGGUGAAAUGCGUAGAGAUCGGGAGGAACAUCAGUGGCGAAGGCGGCCAUCUGGGACAACACUGACGCUGAGGCACGAAAGCGUGGGGAGCAAACAGGAUUAGAUACCCGCGUAGUCCCUGUCUCUUAUAU
rnacentral:rRNA from 1 species